rnacentral:rRNA from 1 species
CUGGCUCAGGAUGAACGCUAGCUACAGGCUUAACACAUGCAAGUCGCGGGGCAGCAUGGUCUUAGCUUGCUAAGACUGAUGGCGACCGGCGCACGGGUGAGUAACGCGUAUCCAACCUUCCCCUUAGUAGGGCAUAGCCCGGCGAAAGUCGGAUUAAUACCCUAUGUUCUUCGUAGAUGGCAUCUGAGACGAAGCAAAGGUUAGCGCUAAGGGAUGGGGAUGCGUCUGAUUAGGCAGUCGGCGGGGUAACGGCCCACCGAGCCAUCGAUCAGUAGGGGUUCUGAGAGGAAGGUCCCCCACAUUGGAACUGAGACACGGUCCAAACUCCUACGGGAGGCAGCAGUGAGGAAUAUUGGUCAAUGGGCGAGAGCCUGAACCAGCCAAGUAGCGUGCCAGGACGACGGCCCUACGGGUUGUAAACUGCUUUUAUGCGGGGAUAAAGUGCCCUACGUGUAGGGUAUUGCAGGUACCGCAUGAAUAAGGACCGGCUAAUUCCGUGCCAGCAGCUGC